UGAACCUGUGGAARGAUCAUU
rnacentral:rRNA from 1 species